GGAGAGGUAUCUUAGUGGUUAAGAGCAUUGGUUGCUCUUCCAGAGGACCUGGGUUCAAUUCCCAGCACCCCCA
rnacentral:tRNA from 1 species